AUGGUAUUUGGACCACAUAUACUAAAAUUGGAAUAAUAGAGAGAAGUUUAACAUGGACCCUGUGAAAGGAUGACACACGAAUUUGUGAACUGUUCCAUCUUGUU
ensembl:snRNA U6 U6 spliceosomal RNA